UCAAAGGUCAAGGUCACAGUGACCCUGAAAUAGUAAAAUGGUUUCCGGAUGAUAACUCAAGAACGCUUAUGCCUAGGAUCAUGAAACUUCAUGGUACAUUGAUCAUGCCUGGCAGAUGACCCCUAUUGAUUUUCAGGUCACUAGGUCAAAGGUCAAGGUCACAGCGACAAAAAACAUAUUUACAAAAUGGCUGUCACUACAACUGAGAGCCCAUAUGGGGGGCAUGCAUGUUUUACAAACAGCCCUUGUUUAUUACUGCCUUGGAUUUUCCUGCUGCUAUUUAGUGUUCCUGGGAUAAUGUUUUAGUUUGAUAAAAAUCAAUGUUAUAUAAGCAAUAACAAAAACAAGACAUUAAGUGUCAAUUAAGCAACAAUUUAAUGCAUACUUUAUCAAAGAUGGACUUGUUUUAUAAAGUAAUGUACCCUAUUAAGUGUCAAUUAGGUUCCCGAUUUAAUUAUGUGAUCGAUUGGGAAUUAAAUUUGUAAACUAUUAAACCAAAGAACAUGCAUGAAAUGUUAUUCAAUGUAAAAUGGUCUGUGUGAUAGUACAGUUUUAGGAAACCUAACACCUUCCAAAUGCCCACGUGAUAGUUCAGUGAAUAUUGAUUGGCUUUUUACUGGUUUCAUAAUCAUGUGAUAGUCAGUUAACAUAGUUACACUGUUUACUGGUAACACAAAAUUGGGCUGCACAUUAGUACAGAGAUCAUAGCACUCUUAGCUGUUUAUCGGAUUUGUUCCUGUUAAGUUAAACACCUUUUUAAAAAAGGUAAACUUUAAAUCAACCACUGUGUUUGUGGAAUAGGUUUCUAUAUUGACAGAGAUACAUUGAGUAUUUUUACUUGCAAAUACAAAUUGCAGUUUGCGUUUUACUAAUACACUACAAAAUGGCAUCAUUUUCUCAGUCUUCUAUUGAGAAGGGUUCUGAUUUCGUUCGUGAAUAUUUAUGUAGUGGUAGUGCCUGCAAAGACAAGAGCACUGUUGCUGAGGUUUACUGUGAAACGUGUGACAAGUUAUUCUGUAAGAAGUGUUGUGGCUUACAUGACCAGUUGUUUACAGGUCAUAAUGUUCUUGGAAAGGAACAUGAAAAUAAAUGGUCUGUAUCCAAAGAGAAAGACAGAACAUCACAGAAAUUGAAAGUGGACUCCAGUAGACCUCAACCAGGUAAUAAGGACCCCUCAAAGAAUCUUGUGUUGAACAAAAGUGCAGCCAUUAAGCAGCGAGUUUCUAAGACUUCUAAAGCAG